UGCCGGAGUGGUGGAACUGGCAGACGCGCAUGGUUCAGGUCCAUGUGGAGGUAACUCCGUGGAGGUUCGAGUCCUCUCUCCGGCAU
rnacentral:tRNA from 1 species